UUUUCCGCAAUCACAACGCAGUGAUAUUGUUUUCAAGUCUCCUUCGAACGAUCAAAAAAUUGAAGAUGGGAUCUUGGCAGAUUAAGAUUCGAUAAGAGUAAAGAGAAGUUUUCGUAAAGCCUUAAACUGGAAGCUGAGCUUGUCUAACGGCACUAGUGUGACGGCACGAUAAACAACUAUCGCUAAACUCGUCUUACCUCAAACCAUGUAGCAGCAAGUUUAGAACGGACACAACAUUUGUUUUACUAUUGCUAUUAAGGACCUAAGCAGUUUAUUCCCCGGCUGGCAAGCUCGUGCUCGACAAGAUACCUGUUACUUUUGGGGGAGAUUGAAUGCAAAAAUCAUGGGAUUUGAUUAAGAAGUCAAUCUGGGCUAUGACGUAGUUCGAAGUAUGUUCAGCAAGUCUUUGUURACAGUUCUGGAAACGGCGUAACGACUGGUGAGCUUACACGGAAUCAAGAAGCAAGCUGUUGUCAAAUCUUUACCGUAUGUCUGGUAACAUCUCAAUAUCUUAUAUCAGCCUAAACUUUUACGACUGACUUAGGUAGAAUUCAAACCAAAUGAAUUUACAAAGAWACAUGCAUGGUGUUUCAGACCUACCUUUGGUUAUAUUUUCAUUUUUUUUCUUCUAUAGGUACAUCCAUCAUCAACACAGCCCAAACACAAACCAACAACUACUGCAAACUCACACGAAACGGUCAGGAUUACUUUCUAGAUCCGUUUUGAUUUAACUUCACUUCAGUGCCAAUUGAAAAAAAUGAAUGAUGACAUUAAAUCAUGUUUCUAAAAUGCU